rnacentral:rRNA from 1 species
GACGAACGCUGGCGGCGUGCCUAACACAUGCAAGUCGAACGGAAAGGCCCUGCUUUUGUGGGUUUCUCGAGUGGCGAACGGGUGAGUAACACGUGAGUAACCUGCCCUUGACUUUGGGAUAACUUCAGGAAACUGGGGCUAAUACCGGAUAUGAUCUCCUGCUGCAUGUUGUGGGUUGGAAAGUUUCGGCGGUUGGGGAUGGACUCGCGGCUUAUCAGCUUGUUGGUGGGGUAGUGGCUUACCAAGGCUUUGACGGGUAGCCGGCCUGAGAGGGUGACCGGCCACAUGGGGACUGAGAUACGGACCAGAAUCCUACGGGAGGCAGCAGUGGGGAAUAUUGCACAAUGGGCGGAAGCCUGAUGCAGAAACGCCGCGUGCGGGAUGACGGCCUUCGGGUUGUAAACCGCUUUCGCCUGUGACGAAGCGUGAGUGACGGUAAUGGGUAAAGAAGCACCGGCUAACUACGUG